rnacentral:rRNA from 1 species
UACGAAGGGGGCUAGCGUUGCUCGGAAUCACUGGGCGUAAAGGGUGCGUAGGCGGGUCUUUAAGUCAGGGGUGAAAUCCCAAGGCUCAACCUUGGAACUGCCUUUGAUACUGGGGAUCUCGAGUCCGGAAGAGGUUGGUGGAACUGCGAGUGUAGAGGUGAAAUUCGUAGAUAUUCGCAAGAACACCAGUGGCGAAGGCGGCCAACUGGUCCGGUACUGACGCUGAGGUGCGAAAGCGUGGGAAUCGAACGGG